GUGCAUCAGCGGAGGCGCGAAAAACACGCGCGCGGCAUAAGUGGUUCAGCGCGGGGGUGAGACGGCAUCGCACGCCGUUUAUUUCGUGCGCCCACUCUCGCGCGCUGCACACUCAAGCAACCGCGCUGCGACUUUCACCUACCCUCAAUUCAGGUGCCGUCGCCGCCGCCGCCGCCUGCACCACCUUAUUUGCUCCCGCGACCCGAUGGCGCUUCCCCGGUCUAUCCCCACGCCGCUGCUGCUUCCUCCGUGUCCCUCUAGUCACCGUCGCCCCUAGCGCGCAUCAUUCCUCCGACGAACAACGUCCGGCCGCCCACUGCCGCUCGACGCCCACAAGGUGUUCGACAAAACGCUUGCAAGAAGUGGAGAUCAUUGACUAAGGAUGGGGACCUUGAGGCGUUCGACGAUAUGCUAUCCAAAA